CAAUUGCGAAGUCAGCUUGCUAAACUAUAACUGACGCUGAGGCACGAAAGCGUGGGGAGCGAACAGGAUUAGAUACCCUGGUAGUCCACGCCGUUAACUAUGAACACUCGCUGUUGGCGAUACACAGUCAGCGGCUGAGCGAAAGCGUUAAGUGUUCCACCUGGGAAGUACGAUCGCAAGGUUGAAACUCAAAGGAAUUGACGGGGGCCCGCACAAGCGGAGGAGCAUGUGGUUUAAUUCGAUGAUACGCGAGGAACCUUACCUGGGCUUAAAUGUAUAUUGACGUACUGAGAAAUCAGUAUUUCUUCGGACAAUUUACAAGGUGCUGCAUGGUUGUCGUCAGCUCGUGCCGUGAGGUGUCGGGUUAAGUCCCAUAACGAGCUCAACCCCUACUUCUAGUUACCAGCAUUUCGGAUGGGGACUCUAGAUGGAACUGCCUACGCAAGUAGAGAGGAAGGUGGGGAUGACGUCAAAUCAGCACGGCCCUUAUGUCCAGGGCUACACACGUGCUACAAUGGCCGGUACAGAGGGCAGCUACAUAGCAAUAUGAUGCUAAUCUCAAAAGCCGGUCUCAGUCCGGAUUGGAGUCUGCAACUCGACUCCAUGAAGUUGGAUUCGAUAGUA
rnacentral:rRNA from 1 species